GAUGAAGAACGUAGCGAAAUGCGAUAGGUAAUGUGAAUUGCAGAAUUCCGUGAAUCAUCGAAUCUUUGAACGCACAUUGCGCCCCCUGGCAUUCCGGGGGGCAUGCCUGUCCGAGCGUCAUUUCUGCCCUCCAGCCCGGCUGGGUGUUGGGCGCUGUCCCCCCGGGGACACGCCCCAAAGGCAGUGGCGGCGCCGCGUCGGGUCCUCGAGCGUAUGGGGCUUUGUCACCCGCUCGGGACGGACUCGUCGGCGCUGGUCUUCCUCCAGGCGACCCUUCGGGGCUCGUCUUCCUUCGGUUGACCUCGGAUCAGGUAGGGUUACCCGCUGAACUUAAGCAUAUCAAUAAGCGGAGGA
rnacentral:misc_RNA from 1 species